GAGAGAAAUCAACCCAAAUGGCUAGACAAGCCUCUAGAAUCGUUAAAUCUUUGUCCUCUACGAUUUGCUUUCACAAUCCCCAUAUAUCUCCGCUCGCUCCAUCUUCUUCUUCUGCAUAUUCUCUGUUGCAGUCUCGCUCUUUCGCCGCUGCUUCUUCGCCUCCGCCGGCUGUCUUUGUGGACAAGAACACCCGUGUCAUUUGCCAAGGCAUCACCGGCAAGAACGGCACUUUUCACACUGAACAAGCCAUUGAAUAUGGCACCAAAAUGGUUGGUGGAGUGACACCUAAGAAGGGUGGGACAGAACACUUGGGACUUCCUGUUUUCAACACAGUUGCAGAAGCGAAGGCUGAAACAAAGGCUAAUGCAUCAGUGAUCUAUGUUCCUCCACCUUUUGCUGCUGCAGCUAUUAUGGAAGCCAUGGAAGCAGAAUUGGAUCUGGUUGUGUGCAUCACAGAAGGAAUCCCUCAACAUGACAUGGUUCGCGUGAAGGCUGCACUAAACAAGCAAUCAAAAACUAAACUAAUUGGUCCAAACUGCCCUGGUAUUAUCAAACCUGGAGAAUGCAAGAUUGGAAUUAUGCCUGGAUACAUUCACAAACCGGGGCGUGUAGGAAUUGUCUCUCGAUCUG
rnacentral:misc_RNA from 1 species